rnacentral:lncRNA from 1 species
GUGAAUUUAGAGGUCGAAAGACGACCUUCCUCUUCACCAUCUUUCUGACCUCCGAUUGGAGUUCCUCUGGCCGCUUCACCGCAGGCUCUGGCUUCCUUUUCUCCAGGUACCUUUCUAUGGAGAGAUUAUGGACGUUUGCUGGUGAUGGUGGAUGGCGUGUGAGGCUCAGCUUAAGCACUUUUGGACUAACUCUGAAAACAAGAACCUGUACUGCUCUAUAAACAUUUGUGAACCACGUGGGAUGAAUUGGAGGGAUACAGGCAUGGAUGACCUGUAAUGCUUGCCCAUAGGCUGUGCAGGGGCUGGCUGUGGUCAGGACUCAGCAGGUGAAGGUGCCUGCUGCCCAGCCUGAUGAUCCGAGUCCACUUUCUGGAAUCUCCAUGGUUGACUGCCUCCAAGAGUUCCUUCUACAGCUGGAAUGCAAGAUCCUGAGUGGAGUCCAGGUGGUGGGUCUGGGAGCCUCCAGAGAGUCAUGGCCAGUCAGGAUGGCUGCCGUCCCCGUGCUUCUGGAGAGGGGCUUAGCCAAGAGGAAGCCACCCCAAAGGCUGAUCUCCUGACAGUUGAGCCGGUCCCCUGACAUGUGGCAUGCUGCAGAGCCUCGGAGGAAAGAGACAGCAACACUGACGAAUGAGGUCAGCGGGACCUGCUGAGUACCCAGUGGAUGUGGAGAACAGUGGAGGCAGAGUGCCCGCUCAGAUUACAUGAUUAACUCUCUCGGUCACCAGUGCCUAGCAUCCAGGCUGGGCCCCAAGGAUGCAGAGGCCAGUAGGACCCAGAGACCUCCUGGCCGGAGAGAAUGGCAGGCCCGUAGCUGGGGGUUGGAUGCCAUCCGAUAGGUGUUUGGGGAAUAUUCUGGAGGGCAAAGGGCACUGAUGCCAGUGGAUAAAAGGGCUCUUGGUUACAAGAACCAGCACUGGGUUAGAUGAAUGCUACCUGUCCCAGUUGCGGUUCCUAUUGCUAGGGUGAAGCACCGUGACCAAAAGCAAGUUGGGGAGGGAACCGUUUGUUGGCCUUACACUUCCUCAUCCAUAAUCCAUCAUUGAGGGAAGUCAGGACAGAAACUCAAGCAGGGCAGGAUCCUGGAGACAGAGGCUGAUGCAGAGGCCAUGGAGGGGUGCUGUUUACUGGGUUGCUUCCCAUGGCUUGCUCAGUCUGCUUUCUUAUAGGAUCCAGGACCACCAGAUCAAAUAUGCCACCACCCAAUGGGCUGGGCCCUCACCCACCAAUCAAUCACUAAGGAAAUGCUCUAUACAUUUGCUUACAG